GCAGUCGAGCGGCAGCACGGGUACUUGUACCUGGUGGCGAGCGGCGGACGGGUGAGUAAUGCCUAGGAAUCUGCCUGGUAGUGGGGGAUAACGUUCGGAAACGAACGCUAAUACCGCAUACGUCCUACGGGAGAAAGCAGGGGACCUUCGGGCCUUGCGCUAUCAGAUGAGCCUAGGUCGGAUUAGCUAGUUGGUGAGGUAAUGGCUCACCAAGGCGACGAUCCGUAACUGGUCUGAGAGGAUGAUCAGUCACACUGGAACUGAGACACGGUCCAGACUCCUACGGGAGGCAGCAGUGGGGAAUAUUGGACAAUGGGCGAAAGCCUGAUCCAGCCAUGCCGCGUGUGUGAAGAAGGUCUUCGGAUUGUAAAGCACUUUAAGUUGGGAGGAAGGGCAGUUACCUAAUACGUGAUUGUUUUGACGUUACCGACAGAAUAAGCACCGGCUAACUCUGUGCCAGCAGCCGCGGUAAUACAGAGGGUGCAAGCGUUAAUCGGAAUUACUGGGCGUAAAGCGCGCGUAGGUGGUUCGUUAAGUUGGAUGUGAAAUCCCCGGGCUCAACCUGGGAACUGCAUUCAAAACUGUCGAGCUAGAGUAUGGUAGAGGGUGGUGGAAUUUCCUGUGUAGCGGUGAAAUGCGUAGAUAUUGGAAGGAACACCAGUGGCGAAGGCGACCACCUGGACUGAUACUGACACUGAGGUGCGAAAGCGUGAGGAGCAAACGGGAUUAGAUACCCUGGUAGUCCACGCCGCAAACGAUGUCAACU
rnacentral:rRNA from 1 species